rnacentral:lncRNA from 1 species
AUAAUUUCUAUUCUUUUUUUUUCUCUUUCCCCAAAAGAAACCCAACAACCAAAGCCCCUCCAAAAACAGAAACCCAAAUCUAAUAUCUCAUAAAAGGAUUUUCUUCUUCUUGCCAAAUGUGAAGUUUGUUUAAGAAAGCAUGCACAUUUAUAGAACAGGAAAUUAAAAGGAAAUAGAGAUAACAGCUUCAGAUGUGGAGUAAUGGUUGCAGUGAAAAAGUGGGUCGAUGCGUGUCGGCUUCUCAUUGGUUGCCCUCAUAGCGUGUCGGUUUCUCAUUGGUUGUCCUCAUAGCGGUGUCGUUACUGUCUGCUGUUUGAACUUUUAUUUUAUUGUCUGCUUUCCAAACUCUUCAAUUAAAGCCCUCUCGCUGUCAGAGUUGUACGGUCACUCCUUGAGUUGACGGCGGAAUUUUUUUAAGGAUUUUACUAUACAUAAUUGUUUACCAUGGACAUUUUUUAUUUUUGCCCACAAGGUUUGGGAUUGUUUCACUUCAGUCCUGAUUGAGCACAAACCUCGGUACCGAAAAUAGACGUCCUCUAUUUCAUAUUUUCAAUUAAUAAAUUAAGGGCAAAAAAAGAAUAAUUGAGUGAAUAUUUGUUAGAUUGAAGUAAUAGUAAACAAUAAUUUCACAACUUUGUUUUUUUUAUGUUUCCUUGUACCAUCUUUCGCUUCUUAUUUUCUCACCAAUCAACUCAAUUAUCCUUUAGAGAUAUUUGAAACAUUGUUACAAUUCAAUUAUUUACAAUAAAAUACACAAACCAUCCCCAAUUAAGAACAAAUUAUUUGGGGAUCAACAAGCGAAUGUAAAAAAUAAGGCUAUACAAACAAAAAUUGGGACAUGUAUUUCGAACAAAUUUUUAAUAAGUUAUCCCUACAUUAAUAAUAAAAUAUAAAUUAAAAGACAAGAAAACUAAACAUCCCAAUAUAACAUUCUACAUAUAUUUUUCACAUACACGGGUGAAUUGGAUUCAACACAAAAUACUAUAAGUGAUUUUAACACUCAAUUAUUGAGUGUGUGCAUACAAAAUGGGCUGUAUAUAUUCUUUUCCACAAGUCACUUCAAUUCCCUUCAAACAAAUGCAAAAAUCAAAAAGUAAUUUUAAUACUCAAUUAUUAAGUGAUUCCACACACACAUAUAUAACAUGGUAUUAUAUUCUUUUCCACGUUCACACUUAAAUUUCCUUCAACGCAAAAAAGUAAAAGUGAUUUUAACACUCAAUUAUAGAGUGAUUCCCCAUAUAUUUAAAACAUCCUUGUAGGUGCCGUAUACCAAAGGGACUAAACUAUUGUAGGUGCCGUAUACCAAAGGCACUAAACUAUGCGAUGUGUCCAUUUUUUUAAACAAAAGAAGUUAUUUUGAAUAAAUAAUAGUGUGUUCACUUUCCGAACUACAGAAUCAAAAUCAUUGACAGCGUUUACUUCGUAAAAUAUAAUUAGGAAUCAGAAUCGGGAUCGUGAGAUCCACCACAAUUUGGAAAUGAGGAAUGAGAGACACAUUCCCAAGGAGGGAGUGGGAAUGAGUUUCCCAUUCCCAUGAUUGACCAUUUUGCCUUCCUCCAAAAUAAAAAAUGUAUACUUUUUCCUCAUUUAUAAUU